UACGUAGGGUGCAAGCGUUGUCCGGAAUUAUUGGGCGUAAAGAGCUCGUAGGCGGUCUGUCACGUCGGCUGUGAAAUCCCGAGGCUCAACCUCGGGUCUGCAGUCGAUACGGGCAAACUAGAGUAUUGCAGGGGAGACUGGAAUUCCUGGUGUAGCGGUGAAAUGCGCAGAUAUCAGGAGGAACACCGGUGGCGAAGGCGGCUACCUGGACGGAAACUGACGCUGAGGCGCGAAAGCUAGGGGAGCAAACAGG
rnacentral:rRNA from 1 species